rnacentral:lncRNA from 1 species
UGUAACACUCACCACGAGGGUCCGCAGCUUCAUUCUUAAAGUCAGCGAGACCAAGAACCCACCAAUUCCGGACACGCAAGUAUUCGUAACGUUCUUCUGUUCCAAGAAAAAUGGUCUUCUUACUUCCUUGAUGGCUCACAACAUGCUCCUUUCUACUGCAGGAACACUGUAUAACUUCUGUCAAGCAUGAACUCCCCACCUCUGUUUGACAUACUUCUCUACUUUCAGAACUCAGCUGAACUAUCGCUUCUCAAGGGAGCACUCAAACUUCCUGAACAGAACCACCUUAGAUAUUGCUGGCCAGCUCAUGAAUUGUGGCUUGUGGUCCAGCUAAUCUUUCCUAGUCUAUUCAGCUAUGGCCAGAGAAGAUGUGCUUAACUUGUGGAGCCUUACUGUUUCUCUAAGGACAUUCUUCUACAUAAUGUUGCGUCAGUAGAAUAAUUUUCUCACCAAGUGAUAGCUAGGUAGGUCAGUAAAUCCUCUCCUACACCGUAGUUAUUUGCUUUAAGCCAACUUGAAGUGAACUUCUGUCUCUUCUUUAAUCUGAGAAUCUUACGUCUUCAAGCCCUGUUCACACCGCUUGUCCCAUUAGAAUAAACCUUAUUUAAGAGUUACUGCCAUCUGGAGAAGAUAUCUGCUAAUAUGUUACGGAGUUUUUUCCAUUGUUGCUGCUUCUGUGAAGAACUCAGAAAGGUUCUGAUAAGCCAAGAGAAAAGACAAAAGUAAUGCUUUUCUCAGCGAGAUCUAAGAAUGUUUAGUAGAUUGACAGAGAUCAUUAACACUUUAAAUGUAGUUUUACUUCCAUUUUCAGUCAGGUGAAGUGAAAGUAAAAGUUUAUACUGGAUAGCAAAAUUAAAUAAUGUUUUUAGUGUUGAGACUGCCUAUUAUACACUUACACACACACUUACACACAUAUCCAGGAGAGAAAAUAUUUAUAAAAAGAAAAUUACAACUAAGAAAUCUUGUUUGAUAAUACUACUUUAAAAGCUAAGGCACAUAAAAGAGAAUUAGAUCUCUGUCAUUAAGAUUGUCCAUAAAAAUGCUUGUUUCUCAUACAUAAGACAGUGGGAAAAAAGGUUAGGACUAAUCAAUUUUUAUCUUCUUAUGAAUAUAGUAGAGAGCUUAGGCAUGUAAUAUUAUGAAACUUUACAAAUACUGAUUUAAAAUGUGCUAUAAGCACACUGGCCCCCACAGCCCUGCUAAGUUUACUAUAGACAUCAGGUCUUUUUUUUUAAUAUGAUAUUUGUUAAUUAAUUUAUUCACCAAACAUUGUUUAUUAAACAUAUUGUAUGUGUUUAGCAUAAACUUAGGGGCAAGAAAAUUAAUGACUAAGAAAUUUCCCCUGUCUUCAAAGUGUGCAUAGUUUAAUAAAAAGAGACAGCUAUUUUAAAUAUGUGACUGUAGUAAAAUUACAGAUGUCAAUUUAAAAAUAUGCAUAAGACAACGCACAAAAGAGGCAGUUCUACUGCUAAUUUUGUGGUGGAUGGACAGUUUUACCACAUUGAUCUUCGUUGACCAGAAAAGGUCAGCUGUGAUCAGUCUGUAAUCUGUUCAAUAGAAGACUUAUACGAGGCAUGUAUCAUUUUGAGACUCUGUGAUUGUUGUUUAGAAUACAAAAACAAAAGGUCAUGUCUUUGAAGAAUUUACAGAGUUUAAAAGAAUUUAAAUACCUUAGCAUAUUUCCCAGGCCCUUGUUGGGCACUGCUUGUGUGGAUGAUCCACUAGUAUCUCAAAGUCAAUGUAUGCUACACUAAAUCUUUCUUUCUUUCUAAAUCUUUUCCUACACUUAUGACUCCAUCAUAUUUCUAGUCUCUAAAACUUAAAGACUCAGAGUCUCUGUCUUCAUCUCACUGAUUACUCACAUGCAGCCACUUCCUGCUCUUUUAUUUCUGUUACCAUUGCACAGUUCAGGUGCUUUUGUAAGACCACCCAAACUAAUCAGCAUCUCUAGUCUCUUUCCUUUCCCAUUCCAAUUUAUAUUAAAACCACUUACUAAAAAGUUUUAAGACACACUGCUUCUAACUUAAUAUUCCCUUUUAGUCAUAAAUGAUUUUAAUGAUUACACUACAUAUUUAGAAAAAAAUAAUAAACAAGAAACCUUAAAUUGUUAUAUAAGGCCCUUUACACUCAGGACCUAGUCAAUUUUUUCAAUCUGUAUUUUAUUAUUUCUGAAUAUCAUUCAGCAUUCCAUUUAAAUGGAAUUAUGUAGUAUUUCCCAUACCUGUCCUGCAGUUUCCUGAUUCCCUGCUUUAUUUUCUCUUAUAAUUCAAUCUAGACUGUAUUUUUCUAUACAGAAAUCUCAUUCCCCUUGUUAGAUCGAAAAUGCUAUUUAUUGGAUGUGUGAGAUUUUCUUCAAUAUAAUCCCAUGAAAGUCUUCUGUGAAAUUUCAUAAUAUUUUAUGCACACUUGAAACAGAAGUGAUCAUUUGGGGUUCCUUGUGGUGUAGUACAGAAAGCAUUAGAUUUAAAAUUAGACCUGUGAAUUUCAAUUGUCCCUGUCACUAUUGUUUCUGAGACUUUAGCUAAAUCAUAUAUACUGCUAAUUUUGUGGUGGAUGAACAUUGUUACCACGUUGAUCUUUGUUGACCAGAAAAGGUCAGCUGUGAUCAGUCUAUAAUCUAUUCAAUAAAAGACAUAUUUAUUGUCACCUCAGAAGUAAUAAUAUAUAUCAAUAAUAAUAAUAUUACUCAUUGAGAAUUAGAGAAAGUAAGUGCCAAUACAUUUUGUAAAAUGUUAAACUGAAUGAGAGAUAGAUAUGGGUUUUAAUCUUUGGUUUUCAUCUGAUUCAUGAAACAAGAUUAUUUUGGGUUUUAUUUUUCUAUUACCAUUGAGGCUACAUAAUAGUCACUUUAAGUUUAAAACAAGCAUAAAGGUAAAUGUGAAGAAGUGGGUUUAUAUUUAAUAAGCACAAGAGAUAUUUGUCAAUUGAAUAAAUAAAUGACUGAAUGAGUAGAUGAACUUCAGCAAGACAUAUUACAUCUUUCCUAAAUAGUGUCAGGUUGCAUAUAAAAAUCAGCAUCUACAUAUAUUCUGAAUUCAAUUGAGAAUAACAUGUGAUUCAGGAGUUAACAGUAUUUCCCUGAUGCUCAAAAUCAGCAUUAAUGAGAUUUAAUAUGAAAACAAACGAACAAAACUUUGGUUUAGGUUAAGAAAGCAAAAUUAGUUUUAUGAUCUCGACAGUUCUCAUAAUGAAGAUCAAACACAUUAAGAAAGAAAAACAUGCUAAAAAAGGAAUAAAACAAAGUUACAGAGAGAUAUGAGGCGGUUUUUGAAAAGCCAAAGAUAAGUGCUUCAAAAAUGUUUUUUUAAGCUCCCACUAUGGCCUAGACAUACGUUAGAAGUGAGCUUAUAACCAUUCUUCCUCUUAAAGUGAUGAGAGCUUCAUUAUUUUUCUUCUCUAUUGAUCUAUUAGCACAAAGGUACAUAUCAAAAACUAAAACAAAACCCUAACUCAAACAGCUGCUAUAUAUUCACUAUCAUCAACCUCCAUUUAAAACUGCAGAAAUAAUUGUAAGAAAUCUCAAGUAUCAUGAUAUGUGAAAUUAUAAUAACAUUAUAAUUUAUAAUAAUAAUAACAUCUAAUGGGCACCAGAAGAAUACAUCUUCACAAGAAGGAAAUUUUAAGUGACAUUAAAUGGUGGACAGGUUUCCUCAAAAAUAAAAUAAUAAUCUAACCCACAGAACAAUGUUUCAAGUUUUCAAAUAAUUGGCAGAUAUACUGGUAGAUAGUUAUUUUUAUUUUUUCAGGUACAGUCACUUUCUUUAGAAAAUAAUUCACACUAAAGCUGAGGAACAUUUAGUCUGAAUUCUAACCUCAGGCUUUUUUAGUAUGAGAGUGACUGAGAGCAAAAGCAUCUUCUGCAUGAAGGCCAAAGUGUGCUUUGAUUGAAUAUGUUUCCUGGCACCCAUGUAAAACAUAUACUCACUUGACUAACUUCAGAGCAGCAGGUUUUCAUUGAAUCCAUUCUUGCUCUAUUAAUCUUCAAUACCUAUUUCAUAAAAUUAUAGAAUUUAGAGCCUAAAGGGUCUUUCUCU